rnacentral:rRNA from 1 species
UACAGAGGUCCCAAGCGUUGUUCGGAUUCACUGGGCGUAAAGGGUGCGUAGGUGGUGAGGUAAGUCGGAUGUGAAAUCUCCGGGCUCAACCCGGAAAUGGCAUUGGAAACUACCUUGCUAGAGGAUUGAGGGGAUUGGAAUACUUGGUGUAGCAGUGAAAUGCGUAGAUAUCAAGUGGAACACCAGUGGCGAAGGCGAAUCCCUGGAAAUACCUGACACUGAGGCACGAAAGCUAGGGAGCAAACAGG